AUGGUUGAAACUGAAAAACAUUUGGUAUUUCCAUUGGUAUACAAACUUAUUGAGUUGGCUUUGAUAUUCCCAGUGUCAACGGCAUCUGCUGAGAGAGACUUUUCAGCAAUGAAAAUUAUCAACACUCUCUGUAGCAAAAUUAAUUAUGAAUGGUUCAAUGACUUGAUGAUAUGCUACACCGAGCGGGAGAUAUUGAAGUCAGUUGAUGAUAAGGACAUUAUUCAAACAUUUGCCGCAAUGAGGUCUCGGAAAGGGCAUUAUUCUUUAGUGCACUAUCGGUAUGUUUCAUCUAACCAUCUCUAUUCUUGUUGCCUAUGUAUCUUUCGUUGUCAUGUCUCAACAUUAUUGGGUUUAUUAAGCGGAUAUUGA
rnacentral:rRNA from 1 species